rnacentral:rRNA from 1 species
GACAGAGGGUGCAAACGUUGUUCGGAAUUACUGGGCGUAAAGCGCGUGUAGGCUGCUUGGAAAGUCGGAUGUGAAAGCCCUGGGCUCAACCUAGGAAGUGCAUUCGAAACUUUCAUGCUGGAGUGCUGGAGAGGAAGGCGGGAAUUCUCGGUGUAGAGGUGAAAUUCGUAGAUAUCGAGAGGAACACCGGUGGCGAAGGCGGCCUUCUGGACAGCAACUGACGCUGAGACGCGAAAGCGUGGGGAGCAAACAGG